GCAACUCGCCUACAUGAAGUCGGAGUUGCUAGUAAUCGCGGAUCAGAAUGCCGCGGUGAAUGCCGUUCCCCGGGUCUUGUACACACCGCCCGUCACACCAUGGAAGUUGGGGGCGCCCGAAGUUGCCUAAGAAAUAAGGUACCUAAGGCGAAACCAAUGACUGGGGUGAAGUCGUAACAAGGUAGC
rnacentral:rRNA from 1 species